rnacentral:lncRNA from 1 species
UGGAAUUCAGCUGUCAACAGGGACUGAAUUCUAGGCAUUUACAUUUAAUUUUCAUAUGCACUAUGGUAUCCUGGAACAUUUCCAUAUGAACCUAAAAUUAAAAUUUGAAGCAAAUGCAAUAUAUUUCUGAAAUCAUUCUUGGUUCUAGGAGUUUAUAACCCAGUGGUUAUUAGAAUCUUGAGUCUGAUUCUUGGGCUUAAGCCUUAGUGUCAAAUUUGAAUUUGGAUUCAUCAUUGAAUUGUCACGGACCUACAGCCACAUUUAAAAAUCUUUGAAUCCAAAGGGUUGCUUGUAACGGUGAACCUUUAUACACUUUGAGCUGUGAAAGUGACCUUUAUUUUUAUUACUAUCAUCAACCAUUUCAUCGGAUGCCACUGUCAACUGGCUUAAAUAUUAUUUGCCUCAGUGUAUGUAAGCCCUAGGGAAUUGUUAUCCCCAUUCAUCAGCUGAGAUUGUAUUUUACUUAGCAUUUAUAUCCUUCCAUUAUGUAACAUUAUGUAGCUGAAUGUAAGGAAUAUGCUAACUAUCCUUAAAUAUAAUUUUCCUCCUAAGCAGAUCAUAUGAGAUUAUUCUGCCUCUUGCAAAAACUCCUCUGUUAAAUAUUUUAUCUCAUUGCCUAGAAAUAUUCUUAAAUAUGAUACAGAUAAAUCAAAAAAAUUAAGUUGCUCACAGUUUUAUUGGCAAUAAUGUGAGAAAUAAUUAUAAAUUCUAAGUUGUGGGGUUUUUGCUGUUGUGGUUUAUUUAUUUGUUUCCCAUAUCAAAAUUUACAGCGAUAUUUUAUUAACAUGUUAGAAAUCUUUCAGACUACCAAUAAAACUUUAAUCCAUAUCAUCGUUUCCUAUUGACUUUAAAGCUAGAGUAAUUUAUCCUGAAAUUUUUAUCUAUCAUCUUCAGAAUAAGCGGUUUGUAUAGAUGUCGCUGUCUCUCUUUUCAACUGAAACUGCACCCUCGUUCUGUUACAUUUGUGAUGAAAGAGAGUUAAGGGUUUCUAGCUAAGUGGCAGUUUUCAAAAUGUGGGUCACAGCUCAUUUGUGGGUCAUGAGAUCAGCUUAGCGGCUCUAAACCAGUCUUGUGGGGUUUUUUUUUUUUUGUUUUUUUCUUUUUUAAUGAAAGAAAAUCGAGUAGGAAGUGUCAGGCUUUGCGGCAAAUUGAAAGCGUGAGUCCCGGUUGAUGUUCCUGCAUGGGUGUGGCUGGGCUGUCCAUGUGAAGUGGGUCAUGACCAAACCGUUUGAAAAACAUCGCUGUAUGGAUGCAUCUUUUCCUUUGCGUCUUUCUUUUCUUUUCUCUCUUCUGCUUUGAGCCAUCACCUUGCUUAGGAAGGAUUCACGGCUCGGGGUAUGAAGCUGACGUCAGAUUGCCAGGAUUCAGAUUUGAGCUCUGUCAUUUCCCUCAUCUGGGAAAUGGGCAUAAGGACACUGCCAGCUUCACAGACUCCUUGUGCGGGUGACACUCGUGGAAGGGAGCCGCGUGCCGGGUGACAGCGGCAUAGUCAACAGCAGAUCACACGUUCCCCGCUGGGCCCAUCAGAUCACAGUGGAGCUGGAAACUCCCCAUUGCCUGGUGAUGCUGGGACCGCCGCAUGUAGCACAAAGGGUGACUCACAUGUGUGUGGAGAUGCUGGUGUACACAAGCAGACUGCACUGCCGGUCUGUGAAAGUCCAGCACACACAGCUGUGUCCAGUACAUGAUGCU